rnacentral:rRNA from 1 species
CCUACGUGAGGCAGCAGUAGGGAAUCUUUCACAAUGGGCGAAAGCCUGAUGGAGCAACGCCGCGUGCAGGAUGAAGGCCUUCGGGUUGUACACUGCUUUUAUAAGCGAGAAAUAUGAUGUAACUUAUGAAUAAGGAUCGGCUAACUACGUACCAGCAGACGCGGUCAUACGUAGGAUCCGAGCAUUAUCCGGAGUGACUGGGUGUAAAGAGUUGCGUAGGUGGCAUAAUAAGUAGCUAGUGAAAUCUGGUGGCUCAACCAUUCAGACUAUUAGCUAAACUGUUAAGCUCGAGACCGUUAGGGGUAACUGGAAUUUCUAGUGUAGGAGUGAAAUCCGUAGAUAUUAGAAGGAACACCAAUAGCGUAGGCAGGUUGCUGGGACGGUUCUGACACUAAGGCACGAAAGCGUAGGGAGCAAACGGGAUUAGAUACCCUUGUAGUC